UACUCUCCUGACUUUGGUGACUCUCUCUCUCUCUGUUCUCUAUCUGCAUCUAGGCUACUGCUAACUGAAUUCUAGUUUCAAAACACAAACCAUAGUUGCUGUGCUGCAGAUUACUUUUAACUAUUCGAUCUGGACUCAUAAAGGUUUUUGGUCUCUUCAUUGCUGUUAAGCUACCGUUAAGUUAAAUCCUUUCAGUUUCUAAAGGCAAAUUAUGGCUGUUGCGCUGCGGGCCGGUAUAGAUCUAUUCUGGACUCUUAAAGAUUACUUUUAACUAUUCGAUCUGGACUCAUAAAGGUAUGCAUAAUUGUUAUAUUCUUCUUAAUUAUAUUUGCUUAGGUGUUUGUAGACAUCAGUAAAACUCCUACGCCUAUUGAAAAUGAAUACAUCCAGCCCAGUUGCAUUUUUAGGUUUUCUAUACCAAAAAGGUCAAUCAGCAUCAUACUCUAUUUUUAAACUUUAUUUUACAAAAUGUUUAAAACUACGUUAUUUAAGUAUUGAAAGUACACUAUUUUGUAUAUUAUCAAAUAAUGUAUAUUCAGUACAUCUUUAUUAUAUUAAAAAUAUUUUUUUUUAUUUAUGGAUCACAACAAAAUUUCUUGACGUAGACAAGUCUUGGUCAUCCAACUAGAUAUGUGGCAUUGGAUUCGAUCUUAUCCUAAUUUCUUUAGUACAAUAAUUCACUGGUAGGUACCAUCCAUACACAUAAUUUGUCAAAAGAAACAAUGCCAUUAUUAUUUCUCAUUGUGCACAUAUAAGACAAUAGAAAUUGUACAGUACCUACAGAAACAGCAAAUAACUCUAGCUUGGGGGUUUCUUUGAAGUUUCUUUGUUCCUUCCAAUGAAUUUCUCAGGUUUUUGGCUUCUUCAUUGCUGUUAAGCUACCGUUAAGUUAAAUCCUUCCAGUUUCUAAAGGCAAAUUAUGGCUGUUGCACUGCGGGCCGGUAUAGAUCUAUUCUGGUCUCUUAAAGACGCAAUGGAGCAGAUACUCUCAUUACGUAGUAAAUUUGAAGGAUAUAUGGAUUUUGAUGAAAAUCUGGAAACUCUAAAAGCUGAAGUAGAUCAACUUCAUAUGGAGGCGAAUGACAUGGAAGCAAAGUUGAAGAACUUAGAAAGAGGAGGGCAAAGGAAGAGGAAACAAGGAGUCGAGGGUUGGCUUCAGCAAGUAAAUAAGUUGGAAACAAACUUUGAAACAUUCAAGGAAAGCAUACAAGGUGCGGGAUUCAUAAUGAAGAAUGCUCGGAAGUUAAUAAAAGCACAAGAACUCGAAGGGAUGACAGAAAGAGUUAAAAAGCUUAGAGAAGAGGGCAGAAGUAAUACUGUUGAACCUACACUGGAUGUGAGUACAUCAUAUGAACUCAAUGUUGAUCAGUUAUUUGGGACAGCAUCUAAAAUUAAUUUAGUAGAAAUAUAUAGAUGGGUAGAGGAUGCAAAUGUGACUAGUAUCGGGGUGUAUGGAAUGGGAGGUGUUGGAAAGACAACUUUGGCACAACAUCUAUAUAACAAAAUCUGCAAAGAAAACCCUCGUGCUAAUGUUUACUGGGUUACAGUUUCUCAAGAUUUUAACAUCAGAAAAUUACAAGAUAACAUUGCGAGAAGUGCUGGUAUUGGAUUUUCGGAUGUGGACAAUGAAGUGCAAAGAGCUGCUAUUUUAUGCAGUCAUCUAGGGAGGAAUAAUGUUGUACUCAUAUUGGAUGAUGUGUGGGACAAAAUUGACUUGGUGAAAUUGGGUGUCCCUCAUAAGGAUAAGGGUUGCAAGCUCAUUUUAACAACUCGAUUACAAGAUGUGUGCCAUUGGAUUGGAUGCGACAAGCUGUUCAAAGUUGAUGUUUUUAAUGAGGAGGGAGCUUGGAAUUUGUUCAAGGAGGUUUUAGUACAAGAUAAGGAUAUUGUGCUCACUGAUGCUAUUGAAAAACAUGCCAAAGAAUUGGCCAAAAAGUGUGGCGGCUUACCAUUGGCACUCAAAACUUUAGCUGCAAGCAUGCGAGGGGUGAAUGAUAACCACAGUUGGAGGAAUGCCAUUAAGAAUUUCCGAAAUGGUUGUCCUCAAAUGGGAGAUCAGCUGGAAAAAGGUGUGUUUGAUAUACUCCAAUUUAGCUACAACAAAUUGGAUCGUGAAAAGUGGAAAAAGUGUUUCCUUUAUUGUUGUUUGUAUCCUGAAGAUGAUAAGAUUCCGAAGGAUGAAAUAAUAAUAAAGUUGAUUGCAGAAGGAUUAUGUGAAGAUAGAGAUGAAGGUCAUUCCAUAUUGAAUCAUCUAGAAAAGGUUUUCUUAUUGGAAGGGGGGGAAUGGUAUAACGGAAUAGGGUAUGUUAAGAUGCAUGAUUUAAUGAGAGAAAUGGCUUUAACGAUCUCAAAGUUCAUGGUUAAAUCUGAGCUCACUGAAAUUCCGGAGGAGAAACAUUGGAUCGCUGAAUUGGAGAGAGUUUCUUUUAUGAGAAGUGAAAUAAAAGAAAUUCCAGAUGACUUUUCCCCCAGAUGCCCUAGCCUUUCAACCUUGAUUUUGCAAGGGCCUUAUUACAUGGGUUUCUGGCAGUUUCAAAGAAUCCCAGAAUCUUUCUUGUUGUACAUGAGGACACAGCUUCGUGUCCUAGAUUUAAGUUAUAUCAGUGGGCUGGAGUGUCUUCCCAAUUCUAUCUCAGAUUUGGAGAAUCUUUAUGGAUUAUAUCUUGUAGGUUGUGAAAGGAUUAGUUGUUUGCCAGGAAUGAAGAAGCUGAAGAAAUUGAUGGUGUUAAAUAUUGAUGGUUGUUAUGGAAUUAGGGAAUUGCCUCAAGACAUGGGAUGUUUAGUGAAUCUCCAAUAUCUAUAUAUGAGGCACACAAGCAAAUACUUGGAGAUUCCGAAAGGGGUAAUAGCCAAACUAAGAAAUCUUAGAUGCUUCCAUUUGCACUCUUGUCCGAACUUGCAGAGUGAGGAAGUUAAUUGCUUGACACGUCUUCAAGAAUUUGCAAACAGCUAUGAUGAUUUGCACAGCUUCAACAACACUACAUUGGUUAAAAAACUUGAGCAACUGAAAUACUACCGGAUAUCCGUAGGCUGCCAUUAUACAGAGCUAGAAAGUGAAGAGAGGAGUGUGUGUUUCCGUGCAAUCAAUUUUGAAGGGAAAAGAGGUCAAGAAGUUAAAGUAUUGCUUCCUGCAAACAUUUGUUGUUUACGAAUUGAGGACUGUGACGGGUUGGAUGGGUGCAUAUUAGACAAUUUCCAAUCAUUGAGCAAUAAUCUGAGCAAACUAAGUGUAUAUAAUUCCAUCGAAGCAGAGUGGAUUUGGGAUAGCGAACAAAUAAUAGAAAAUGCAGCCACCCCAUUUAAGUGUCUUGAGAAGUUGCAUCUCAAAAACCUGCAAAGAUUAGUAAGUUUGUUUAAGGGAGAAGAUGUAAUUAUUCUUCCAGAUUGCACCUUCUCAUCCCUUAAACAUCUGUAUGUCAGUGGAUGUAACAGUAUGACGAAGUUGUUGUCACAGGCGUUAUUGCAAAAUUUCCAAAAUCUUGAGAUACUUGAAGUACAAUUCUGUGAGAACCUAGAAGUGGUAAUAGGAGUUGGGGAUGAAGAAGGCAGCAGUAAUACCCGACAGUCAUCAUCCUCAAAUAUAUCAUGUCUACCCAAGCUUAAACACUUACAACUAGAGAUGCUGCCAAAAUUGAAAAGCAUAUGCAAUGGUAGAGAAAUGGUUUGCCCUUCCAUUGAAGUAAUAAGAAUUUUCCGUUGUCAAAAUAUUAAGAGGAUGCCUUCAUUUCUUCCUAUUGAUGAGGCUCAACAACCAUACCUUCCUUCAUCCUUUCAAAAUAUCAGCUUACUUAAAGAUGAGAAAGAAUGGUGGGAAUCAUUGGAGUGGCACAAUCCAAAUGAAAAAGACAUCCUGGAAUCUCACAUCGAAUGGAGGCAAUGGUGAUUAGGGAUGAUUAUUGUACCCGAAAGUUGUUACUGUUCAAUUUGGAGUAGAUACUUUGGAGGCGCAGAAGUGCAGAACCCAUGAAGGCCAUUGAUGGGUUUGUAACUUUGUUUGCAUCCAGAGCACUUAGACCAUUGAUCGGAGUCGCCUCCAUCCGCCGUCUCCAUUUAUCCGUCACCUUCAUUUUCGUUUGCUGAGAUACCAAGACAAAGCAGCUCCAGAGCAUUCAACAUAUGAAUUUCCACGUGGUGUCGCAUGCUUACUGGACCUUCCAUGUGUCCAGUGUUUUGAAAUGGUGAUUUUGAUUUACCACAUUAUAGAUACAAGAAUUCCCACUAACCCCACUGUUAAGUAUUCCAUAUGCAGCCACGUGCUUUCCAAAUGUUUCUCCCAAAAUUGUGCUUUCAUCAGGCUUGCGACUGAUUUUGAGCCGGAAAACUUGCCGGAAAUGGAGUUGCUCGCUGGAGAAGAAAGGGAAAAAGUAAAAUGACCAAAAAAGCCCUCAUUAUUUGAUCUAUUAAAAAUUUCCGGCCACUUUUCGUCGGUAAUUUGGCCGGAGUGACCAAAAUUGAAAAAAAUU